rnacentral:rRNA from 1 species
CGAAUGGCUCAUUAAAUCAUUAUCGUUUAUUUGAUAGUACCUUACUACACGGAUACCUGUGGUAAUUCUAGAGCUAAUACGUGCUAAAAACCCCGACUCACGGAGGGGUGUAUUUAUUAGAUAAAAAGCCAAUGCCCUUCGGGGCUUCUUGGUGAUUCAUAAUAACUCAACGAAUCGCAUGGCCUUGCGCCGGCGAUGGUUCAUUCAAAUUUCUGCCCUAUCAACUUUCGAUGGUAGGAUAGUGGCCUACUCAUGGUUYCAMCGGGUAMCGGGAAAUUUUGUGUUUGAUUCCGGAGAGGGGGCCUGAGAAAUGGCCACCACAUCCAAGGRAGGCAGCAGGCGCGCAAAUUACCCAAUCCCGAUACGGGGAGGUAGUGACAAUAAAUACUGAUACAGGGCUCUUUUGGGUCUUGUAAUUGGAAUGAGUACAAUUUAAAUCCCUUAACGAGGAACAAUUGGAGGGCAAGUCUGGUGGACGUCAGCUGGCGCCAGAUAGAGCGGGGGCCCAAAAGCCCGCUAGUCGAGCACCCACACCUCGGCAGGAGGGUGCCGGCGAGGUAACCUGGUACGGGGAAGCCUAAAGAGAUAUCUAGGGCGAUCCCGUGGCGAGCCUGCUCCAGCAGGCCGUCGUAACGCGCGCAAAGGUACCGGUUCCCGCACAGGGGACUCGAGGGACGCGCUGAUCCCGUGCGAAAGCACGCCUCCGGUUCGAGCACCUGCCGUGUCAGGGCCGGGGGGCGCAGGCGACUGCGCGGCGGACGCUGCCCGGGCAGCUCCGAAAAUUGGCCAGCAGCCGCGGUAAUUCCAGCUCCAAUAGCGUAUAUUAAAGUUGUUGCAGUUAAAAAGCUCGUAGUUGAACCUUGGGCCUGGCUGGCCGGUCUUCCUCACCGAAUGCACUGGUCCGGCCGGGCCUUUCCUUCUAGGGAUCCGCAUGCCCUUCACUGGGUGUGUCGGGGAACUAGGACUUUUACUGUGAAAAAAUUAGAGUGUUCAAAGCAGGCCUUUGCUCGAAUACAUUAGCAUGGAAUAAUAGAAUAGGACGUGCGGUUCUAUUUUGUUGGUUUCUAGGAUCGCCGUAAUGAUUAAUAGGGACAGUCSGGGGCGUCAGUAUUCAAUUGUCARAGGUGAAAUUCUUGGAUUUAUUGAAGACUAACUACUGCGAAAGCAUUCGCCAAGGAUGUUUUCAUUAAUCAGUGAACGAAAGUCAGGGGAUCGAAGACGAUCAGGUAAGAGACCUCCAAAUCCCCCCAUAUAACUUUAGAAAGUUUUGCAGCUAACAUUUAAACAGAUACCGUCGUAGUCUUGACCGUAAACUAUACCGACUAGGGAUCGGGCGAUGUUAUUAUUUUGACUCGCUCGGCACCUUACGAGAAAUCAUA